rnacentral:rRNA from 1 species
AAUAGAUACCCCGGUAGUCCACGCCCUAAACCAUGUCAACUGGGUGUUCGGGAAGCGAUUUCUGAGUACCGUAGCUAACGCGUGAAGUUGACCGCCUGGGGAGUACGGCCGCAAGGUUAAAACUCAAAGGAAUUGACGGGGACCCGCACAAGCGGUGGAUGAUGUGGAUUAAUUCGAUGCAACGCGAACAACCUUACCUACCCUUGACAUGUCCGAGAGCCUGCUGAGAGGCGGGUGUGCCCGAAAGGGAAUCGGAACACAGGUGCUGCAUGGCUGUCGUCAGCUCGUGUCGUGAGAUGUUGGGUUAAGUCCCGCAACGAGCGCAACCCUUGUCCCUAGUUGCUACGCAAGGGCACUCUAGGGAGACUGCCGGUGACAAACCGGAGGAAGGUGGGGAUGACGUCAAGUCCUCAUGGCCCUUAUGGGUAGGGCUUCACACGUCAUACAAUGGCCGGUACAGAGGUUGCCAAAGCGCGAGCUGGAGCCAAUCCCCAUAAAAGCCGGUCGUAGUCCGGAUUGCAGUCUGCAA